rnacentral:lncRNA from 1 species
GGAAGCCACUGACAGAUGAACCCUCGAAACCAGUGACUCUGGGAGGUCUCGUCUACAUGGAGGAUUUUAUUACUCAUCCUCAGUGGUAGUGAAAUGCCCUUGUGGAUACCAUCAGGUACAACAGAUGCGACACCAUGCAGACACGCAGCUGUGAAUGGCAGUUCAGAGCUCAACAUAGACUUGUGCUAUGAACAGGGCCUCAGGCCACGUGGACUUGCCUGUGAGCAGCCUGCUCUCCUGCCCAGGGCCCUUUUGUGCUGAGUGAGUGACAGGCAGGAAGCCACUGAGGAAGACAUGAGGUGAACCGCCUCCAGGUGCCAUGGGCAUUGUAGUGAUGUCAGAGUGACAGCCAUCCAAGCUGGAGCUCUCUGUGGUGUGUGCUGGAGAUGUGGGCGGCG